GAUGAACGCUGGCGGCGCGCCUAAUACAUGCAAGUCGAGCGAACAGAUGAGGAGCUUGCUCCUCUGACGUUAGCGGCGGACGGGUGAGUAACACGUGGAUAACCUACCUAUAAGACUGGGAUAACUUCGGGAAACCGGAGCUAAUACCGGAUAAUAUAUUGAACCGCAUGGUUCAAUAGUGAAAGACGGUUUUGCUGUCACUUAUAGAUGGAUCCGCGCCGCAUUAGCUAGUUGGUAAGGUAACGGCUUACCAAGGCAACGAUGCGUAGCCGACCUGAGAGGGUGAUCGGCCACACUGGAACUGAGACACGGUCCAGACUCCUACGGGAGGCAGCAGUAGGGAAUCUUCCGCAAUGGGCGAAAGCCUGACGGAGCAACACCGCGUGAGUGAUGAAGGUCUUCGGAUCGUAAAACUCUGUUAUUGGGGAAGAACAAAUGUGUAAGUAACUAUGCACGUCUUGACGGUACCUAAUCAGAAAGCCACGGCUAACUACGUG
rnacentral:rRNA from 1 species